ACAUGUACCUUAAUUUAUGAAUUUGGAUUAUCGCUGUGUCUUCGUGGAGAUAUCUUCUCUUUUUUAUACAGUACCGGUAUUCGUGUGAAAAAAAAUCCCAACUCGAAGUACCAUAGAGUCUCAGAGAAACUACAUGCAAGCACUUUGUUUAAUUGUGGGCAUUUCUUAGCGAGAUAAGUACUUUGACAGUUUGACUGCACUUAUGUGACCUGUCGGCAGUGUCGACUCGAAGGUGGAGCUGCAGUCAGAGCUACGGCUACGCUAAUUGUACCGGUACCGUUCCCUAUCAUCGAUCGUGUCGGCGCCGGAUCACAUGCGGGGCCGGGGGCAAACUCACUACUGCAUACUGGCGUUUGUAGCUAGCUCAGACACGGUAUACUAAAGGAAUCAAGUACAGUAGAUCUACGGUAGUGCUGCUUGGCCCUUGGGUGGACUUGACCGUGGAUUGAGAUUGCUUCAGCUGCACUAGAAUCUACUUCAUUAUUGGUUGCUGAAUGAUGGCAGAAUUCAUUGUUAAAGCAAAAGAUCGAAAAUAUGAGGGUUUAGAUGAGAAUGAGAAGGGGUGGAAAGGUCCAUUUUGUUUCAUCCAAGGAGCAGAUCCACAGUAUGGUAUGAUAGAUGAUAUGUCAGGAAAGAAACCUAUCACAUGGCAAGCUGAAAUAGAACUCACAAGGAAAGCUAUAGCAGCUAUCAACAGGAUGAAGCCUAAACCCAAGUUCUUUGUGGUCUGUGGGGAUUUAAUUCAUGCUAUGCCUGAUGAUAAUCAGAAAGAAGAACAAGAAGCAGAUUUCUUGAAAGAGUUUGCCAAGGUGGAUCCAAGUAUACCUCUAGUUUGUGUCUGCGGCAAUCAUGAUAUAGGCAAUACUCCAACAAGGAAAUCUAUUCAAAACUUCAGGAAUAAAUUUGGGGAUGACUAUUUUGGAUUUUGGGCUGGAGGUGUGCGUUGCUUGGUGUUGAAUUCUCAACUCUAUGAAGAUGCUAGCAAAGUACAAGAACUGAAGAAAGAGCAAGAUGUGUGGCUUGAGGCAGAAUUAGAUGCUGCCAAGUCAUCUGGGUGUAAGCAUCUAUUGAUCUUCCAGCAUAUACCAUGGUUUCUAAACAAACCAGAAGAAGAGAAUGAAUACUUCAAUAUAGAUCUUGAUAUUCGGAUGCCAAUGUUAGACAAGUUUAUUGCAGCAGGUGUUAACACUAUAUUCUGCGGCCACUACCAUCGGAAUGCUGGAGGAUCAUAUAAGGGAAUGGAAGAGGUUGUGACAUCCGCAAUGGGCUGUCCGCUUUCACAGAGCCCUGCUGGCUUUGAAAUGGGAAAGCAACCCUCAGGUUUACGGGUGGUCAAAGUUCAUGAGAAAAGCAUAUCACACCAGUACUAUGGUAUGGAUGAUAUUCCAUCUACAGUUGAUCUGUAGCAUAGGUAUCUUGAUAUACUGUGAAAGAAACUUUUUAUUUUCAGGGCUGAGUCAUAGAAUGUAGCCUUUCCCUGUUCAGAUAGCACUUUGAUGACGAUAAUUUGAUGAUGGGUAUCUCAAUGUGGAAGACAUUCUUUUUAAAAAUAAGAAAGUAAUUAUUUUCAUUUACUUAAUAAACAGCUUCGAGCCUUUGGUUGAGCCAUGAAUGUAAGGGUAAAGUAUAUAUCCUCUUCAUCUGAAAUUAUCAGUUCUUAUGAUGUCUAUUAUUAUGUUUUUGUCAGGGAUGCUAGACUAUUAUGCAUGCUUUUUGCUGAAGAAUGUUUCUGCAAUCUCAACUGAAAGGUAGCGAUCACAUAGAGAUUGCAGGCAGUCUGUGCGACAAGGAGUGUACGAGCCAGAAAAUAAUUAAAUACUGGCAAGUUAAUCUUAAUAUGCUAGAUUAAAACUUUGGAUUUGCCAUUCCAUGUUGUGAUUAAGCUAAAAAGAUUACCAAAAGUCUUAAAUGGCUUCAGUUCUGCAGAUGAUUAAUCAGUGUCCUGUAGCACAAAAAUUAGCAAUUAAUCAUGUAUACGCUUGAUAUUCACGAUUAGCGGUUAUUGUACAAUGUAGUGAAUGCAAUCAGACAUAGAAAAGUGUUCUGUGAUGAUUGCUAAGCUUUGUGUUACAGGCCCAGGAGUAACAUUCCUUUCUGUCUGGAUUUGAUGUUAGGAACGCAUUAUUGGUUUUUAUUUUUUAUUGGGUGAGCUCCCUUCCAACUCCAAGCAUGUAGAUUUUCUAUAUGGGGGCUCCUAUGGUGGAAGGGCGGGGGGGGGGGUUGAUAAAGAUGUUUUUUCUGUUCGUCUUAUAUACAUUUUGUCAUAUUGCAUUAUAUGGAACUUACACUGCCUCCUUUUGACACAGGCAGUAGGAUAAACCACCCCUGGCCAUUGGUACUUCUCACUGACAUAUUGUAUUUCAUUUUAUUCAGUCAUUGAAGAAGCUCAUGAAAGUCGGGGAUUAUGAAAACAAUACUUUUUACAUUAGUUUAUUAAUGGUAUGACAGAGUGAUUUCUUUAUGAAAUUUUAUGAUUAAGUUGUGUCUUCCAUGUUACAUGUACUAUCAUGUCUUUAUAUUAUAUAUAAUAAAAUGAGAGAAAUGAGAAAUAAUGUAUAACUGCAUUUUAGUCAUUACUUGCUUGAAUAUAUUGAAUUGUUAUUGAGAUCUUUAACAUAUAUAUUUCUGUCUUACAAAGAACCUGUUAAAUAUAUGAUUGUAAUAAUUGUUCUUUUGAAAAAAAAAACACUAAAAAAAGGUUAUUAAUGAUUAGAAUGUGGUUGUGUAUAAUAAGGUUGAUUACUUAGGCAUGUUCGUGUUGGUGAGGGUGGGAGGAUGAUUAUUCCGAAUAUUUUAAGUGUUUAGAUAUUCUUCCAAACAGGUCUCAAGCAGUCAUACAUGUAUGAUUGUUAUAUAUUUUUUGUGACCACAUUCCUACAUCAAGAUGUAUAAAACCAUUUCU